CCCAUUCUAAAGUUAUAUUCUCAUUUUAUAAGCUUUCUUUUACCCUCUACUUUUCUGUUUCAGAAGAACAAUCCGUUAGCUAUAAUAUUUGUGUGGUUAUUUAUUUUAUGUCCAUCUCUCUAACAGACAAUAAACUUCUUGCAGGUGAAAUAGUGGUUGCCCUUUCACCACGAAACCCCCGAUGCCCAGGACAGUGCCUCACCCAGGUUAAUUCCAUGUAAAUAUUAACAUUGGAUUAAUCUAAAGUUCUAGAUCCUCUUGAGAGGCACGAAUAUGUUGGGUAGAAAAAGCUUGGGUCCAGCACCUCAUACUUUUCCACAGGCCUUUUGAAAAAAAUUUGGGUGAGUUUCUCCAGAAAACCUCUACUCUUCCCCAUCAGCAUUUACAAGCCUUCCCCCGGGGGGAGGAGGGGGGGAAAGAAAAGAAAAGAGAAGAAAAGAAAAAAGAAAGAAGGGCAAAGAAAACAAACUGGAAUCUCCAGAAUGAGUUCUGACUUUGGAUUUCUAUCCCAGACUGCCUGUGGCCACCUUCUCUCCUGUGGGGAGUAGGAAGGAGUCAGUUUUAAGAACUGUUCCCCCUGGCCUUGGUUCAGAACUGUCUAUCCCCAGCAUUCCAGGGUUCGUCUUAAAUCAUUGACUGUCUUUGCAGGGUUUUUUGAAAGGAUUUUCAUAAAAAAGAAAAAAAAAAAAAACCCAAGAACACGAAAAGUGAAUUUGCUAUCAAGAUUUCUAGUGCUCAGAUGACGUAUGAAGGUAAAGCCUCCCUGUGCCCAUUUUAGUGGCCCCACGCCCAACCCUGUCUGAAGUUUUUGCUCUAUUCCUAUAAGUCAGUUACAGGGUUUCAUGUGUAUAUAGACAACAAGUAAUAAAAGCUACAACAACCUGGAUCUGCUUUGUUUCAGACUUGCUGGUUUAAAAAAAUCUGCCGAGGGCACUUGUAUUUUUCUUAUUUCUACUUCCUAGGGUGUAGCCAGGCAGCUCAUGACACCUCCCCACAACUGGACCUUGAAUCCUGAUGGGGACACAGUGAAAAUGACUGCCAGCCAGCACCACAGCUGUGAGACUAUCUACUUUGGGCUUUCAUCACACCAAAAAAAAAACCCUGGAAGUGAGGGCUCGGUGCCAGCCAAAUCAUCACAUGCCUUGGGGAUUGACUGGGUGCUGACCUUUGAGCCCCUGUCCUGGCCUUUCAGACUGUAGUUCAAGGUCACAUCACCUAGGCACUGUAGGCACUGUAGUGCCACGACUUUCUGUGUCACUGUGGCAAGUAGCUUAACUUCUCUCUGCUGCAGUGUCCCUGUGUGUCAAAUGGGGAUGCAGUCAUGACUCCCUCGUGGGUUUUCUUGUAAGAAUGAAAUGGCGUGAUUGAUGUCAGGCACAUAGUAGGCACUUGGUACGUAUUAGCCAUCAACUAUAUGUCAUUACCAUUUGUACUUAACAAUUUAUUCUAUAAACAGACUGCCCGGUUGCU